rnacentral:rRNA from 1 species
UACGGGGGGAGCAAGCGUUGUUCGGAUUUACUGGGCGUAAAGGGCGCGUAGGCGGCGUGACAAGUCACUUGUGAAAUCUCCGGGCUUAACUCGGAACGGUCAAGUGAUACUGUCGUGCUAGAGUACAGAAGGGGCAACUGGAAUUCUCGGUGUAGCGGUGAAAUGCGUAGAUAUCGAGAGGAACACCUGCGGCGAAGGCGGGUUGCUGGGCUGAUACUGACGCUGAGGCGCGAAGCUAGGGGAGCGAACGGG